rnacentral:lncRNA from 10 species
UGGUAGUCAUUGUUAUGCCAGAUUAUAGAAGGUUUAGCUAAAGACUGCUAAUGGACAGCUGGUUGGGCUCAACAGUGGAUUUCCAGAACAAGUCUUCAAGUCUUUACAAUGGAUCAGAUAAUCAAUAGGGCAGUUAUCAGGAAUGCUAAUUCUCCCCAGAAGAGGAUUAUAAAUUACAUCACGCACAAGGUUCUGUCCCAGACAGAUUGGGUGCAGGUUUUCUUUAGGGCUGGCUUGCAGGUUCUCCGAUAGUGAUCUGAUCAUCACUCAGCCUAAUUUCAACCUGUGUAACUCCUUGAAGUUACAGUCAUGCACUGCAUGUGGUGAGGAUUAAAGGAGCUUAGACAUAUGAAGUACUCAGACCUGUGGCUGCACCUGGUAGAUGUUAAGUGUUGCCCCCAGCACCAUCAUCACUGCCUCAUAGCAGCCCUCUUUAUUUUUCCCAUCUUACAGAUAAUGAAGCAUUUGCUCCUAAACUGCUUAAUAAUUGACAGAGCAGGGAUUCACCUGCAGACUUUCCAGUUUCCUUGAGGCUUUCCUAAGAGGCUAAGUGCGUAGGGAAACUGAAGAAAUGACACAUCCAAUUGCCUCCUCUCCCUGCAAGAGGAGGGCAGUAGUAUUAAAUGUGUGCUCUGCAGAGAGCAAGGCUUCCCUUCCGUGCCGCCUUUUUUGCCA